rnacentral:rRNA from 1 species
CCUACGGGGGGCAGCAGUGGGGAAUAUUGCGCAAUGGGCGAAAGCCUGACGCAGCGACGCCGCGUGAGGGAUGAAGGUCUUCGGAUCGUAAACCUCUGUCAGCAGGGAAGAACGGUCACUUUGCUAAUCAGCAGUGCAUUGACGGUACCUGCAACGGCAGCACCGGCUAACUCCGUGCCAGCAGCCGCGGUAAUCCGGAGGGUGCGGGCGUUAAUCGGAAUUACUGGGCGUAAAGCGCUCGUAGGCGGUAUGUCAAGUCAAGGGUGAAAUCCCCGCGCUCAACGUGGGAAUUGCCGUUGAAACUGGCAAACUGGAGUGUGUGAGAGGAUAGUGGAAUUCCAGGUGUAGGAGUGAAAUCCGUAGAUAUCGGGAGGAACAUCAGUGGCGAAGGCGACUAUCUGGAACAUAACUGACGCUGAGGAGCGAAAGCGUGGGUAGCAAACAGGAUUAGAUACCCCAGUAGUC